AAUAUUAUAUCUAAAUUUUAUUUUUAGCAAUUCUUAUAAAAUACCGCAAAUUAUAUAAUAAUUUUCUUGCGGGCAUCUUUAGUCUUGAGAAAAUGAAUGUUCAAGAUUACUUGUAGUAUUUAUUCAUAUUGGCGCUUACACAACGAAGUUUGUGUUCUCUCUUUCGUAAACGGGAUUGAAAAGAUGACAAUGGAGUUGAACAUCCGAAUGAAGAAAUUUUUUUUUAUCAAAGCCCCAAGUGUUAUUGCCUCCGAAAUAUUGUCACGCUCACGCGGGCAUUUGGCAGACUGCCAUACUGCGUUCAUAUCCAACUGAUCACCACAAGGAUUGUAGACGCGUAUGAAUUCUUUUCUCUGUGAAUAUCAGCUUCUAUUGAUUGAAGACGAUAAUCAGCCUUGUCCAUAUCCCGCUUACGGCAAAGUUGGAAAAUAAAGUUAAAAUGAAUCGGUGUAAUUUCUUCGACUAUACAAAGAUUAAGUAUUGUUGAAAGUGGUAGUGGUUUGCAUUGAACUGGCAAAUCGAAAUCACCUGAUUAUUUUACAGAUUUAUGAUUUACUUGUUGGAGUUAAAACAUUUUCCGUUUUCUUGUAACGAUCAUAUAUUUGAUAAUAUUACUUUGGUAAAGAUUGUGAAUCAAAUAUAACUCAGUAUAGAAAUAUUGAGAUAUAUAAAACUAUAACUGUUUAUAAAUGAUACUGAUUUUUUCGAAUAUUUACAUUAUUCUUUAUUUCAAAAAGUAUCGUGUAACCUACCGCUUUAUAUGGCGAACCCAACAUUGAAUUUUUUUAUCGUGAUUUUGAGCUUUAGUGUGCUGAUAUCGAUAUGUUUUAACUGAUUCGGACUCGUUUUCCACUCUUCGUUAACAUAUUACAUUAUAUCACGAAAAUACGUAAUGAAGAGGAAAACGAGAACAGAUUAUAAUAAGAAUUAUUUAUUCGAACAAUCAAUCACCUGUAUUCACAGUGGCCACAUUAAAUUUUUUUGUCACUAAGUUAUCACAAUAGUAUGUACUGUGUUUGGUUUUCAUUUGAAAAUGCUAUUUAAGAUUGAUUAAUUAAGAUUGUUUAAUAAUAUCUUUCCUGAAAA